UACGGAGGGAGCUAGCGUUGUUCGGAAUUACUGGGCGUAAAGCGCACGUAGGCGGCUUUGUAAGUUAGAGGUGAAAGCCCGGGGCUCAACUCCGGAAUUGCCUUUAAGACUGCAUCGCUUGAAUCCGGGAGAGGUGAGUGGAAUUCCGAGUGUAGAGGUGAAAAUUCGUAGAUAUUCGGAAGAACACCAGUGGCGAAAGGCGGCUCACUGGACCGGUAUUGACGCUGAGGUGCGAAAGCGUGGGGAGCAAACAGG
rnacentral:rRNA from 1 species